rnacentral:sRNA from 1 species
ACAACAAAGGCCAUCUCAAAACACAAGAACUCUCUAGAAGCAGAGACAUUCCGACAGCCAGGAAGGAGAUAGUCCAGGUCAGGGCCAUUUAGAAGCCUCUCUUUGGACACUGCUGGCUCCAGUCCUGUGCUAGUUUCUCCCGCUGGCUGUCCCAUCCUGUCAGCCUUCAAAAGUAAAUGUCUAGCUGUCCUGGACUUGCUCUGUCAAUCAAGUUGGCCUCAAACACAGAGAUCUACCUGCAUCUAGCUGGGAUGUGCCACCACGCCUGGCCUCAUCUGUUUGUUUAAGGUGCCCCUGGACACCAGAAGAGGUUGCCGCGCCCCUGAGCUGGAGUUACAGGCAGUGACUGGUGAGCUGUCCAGUGUGGGUGAUGGGGAUUGAACUAUGGUGUCCUGCAACAACAGUCCAGCCUCUUAAUGUCUGAGUCAGUUCUCCAGCACCCACCCCCUCUCUACCCCACCCCCCAAAAAGAAGUUUAGCUGAUGUGAUGGCCCACUCCUGCAUUCCAAGCAUCCAGGAGGGAGACUUGGAAGAUCUCUUUGGGUUGAAGACAACCUGGAUUGCAUGUCGAGUUCUGGAUCAGUUAAGGCUCUCUACAGAGACUGUCUCAAAAAAGUAAAUAUAUAAAUAAAUAAAUAAAUGUUAUUAUUAUUAUUACUAUUGUGCAUAUGUAUGGUGCAUAUGUGUGAAUGUGUGUACUCCAUCAUGUGUGUGAAGUUCAGAGACAUACUGUUCUCUAUGUAGGCUCCAGGGAUGACAUGGGCUACCAGGUUUAUCUGGUCGCUGUUUUAUCUACUCGUCUAGCUCGACAGCCUUCCCUACCCGAGUGUUUUCAACUGUGCACGCCUGUAACACCAACUCAGGAAGGAAUGGCUGAAGGACUGCCUUAAGUCUAAAGCCAACCUAGCUUACGGGAGAUCCCUUUUCUACCACCCAUUAAAGCUUGCCUGGAGAUGGCUCAGCUCAGUUAAGAGCCCUGACUGCUCUUCCAGAGGUCCCUAGUUCAACUCCAAC